UACAGAGGUCUCAAGCGUUGUUCGGAUUCAUUGGGCGUAAAGGGUGUGUAGGUGGCGCGCUAAGUCGGGUGUGAAAUUUCGGAGCUUAACUCCGAAACUGCAUUCGAUACUGGCGUGCUUGAGAACUGGAGAGGAGACUGGAAUUCAUGGUGUAGCAGUGAAAUGCGUAGAGAUCAUGAGGAAGACCAGUGGCGAAGGCGGGUCUCUGGACAGUUCCCGACACUGAGACACGAAGGCCAGGGGAGCAAACGGG
rnacentral:rRNA from 1 species